rnacentral:rRNA from 1 species
AGACCCGAAACCCGGUGAUCUAGCCAUGGGCAGGUUGAAGGUUGGGUAACACUAACUGGAGGACCGAACCGACUAAUGUUGAAAAAUUAGCGGAUGACCUGUGGCUGGGGGUGAAAGGCCAAUCAAACCGGGAGAUAGCUGGUUCUCCCCGAAAGCUAUUUAGGUAGCGCCUCGUGAAUUCAUCUCCGGGGGUAGAGCACUGUUUCGGCUAGGGGGCCAUCCCGGCUUACCAACCCGAUGCAAACUGCGAAUACCGGAGAAUGUUAUCACGGGAGACACACGGCGGGUGCUAACGUCCGUCGUGAAGAGGGAAACAACCCAGACCGCCAGCUAAGGUCCCAAAGUCAUGGUUAAGUGGGAAACGAUGUGGGAAGGCCCAGACAGCCAGGAUGUUGGCUUAGAAGCAGCCAUCAUUUAAAGAAAGCGUAAUAGCUCACUGGUCGAGUCGGCCUGCGCGGAAGAUGUAACGGGGCUAAACCAUGCACCGAAGCUGCGGCAGCGACGCUGAU